rnacentral:rRNA from 1 species
AGGACGAACGCUGGCGGCGUGCUUAACACAUGCAAGUGGAGCGACGAACCAGGGCUUGCCCUGGGGCAGAGCCGCGAACGGGUGAGUAACACGUGGGUUACCUGCCUCGAUGACCGGGACAACCCGAGGAAAACUCGGGCUAAUACCGGAUGUGCCCGUAGGGGGAAAGGAAGCUUCGGCCUCCGCAUCGAGAUGGGCCCGCGGCCCAUUAGCUUGUUGGUGAGGUAACGGCUCACCAAGGCUUUGAUGGGUAGCUGGUCUGAGAGGACGACCAGUCACACUGGAACUGAGACACGGUCCAGACACCUACGGGUGGCAGCAGUCGAGAAUUUUUUCUCAAUGGGGGCAACCCUGAAGGAGCGACGCCGCGUGGAGGAUGAAGGCUUUCGGGUUGUAAACUCCUGUCAUUUGAGAACAAGUGUAGCCAAUUAACUACUGGCUACUUGAUAGUAUCAGAAGAGGAAGGGACGGCUAACUCUGCGCCAGCAGCCGCGGU